rnacentral:lncRNA from 1 species
UAUUUCAGUAUUUCAUCUCUUACCCUCCCCCUAUUCCUCACUGGAAUUCAUACAAUCCUAGAAAUUGAACACCACCAUGAAACAAUCAUCCAAACAUAUUAUUCCACUUUCAGGCUUAAGAAAAUGAGGUUAAAGACACAGGCCCCCCACCCAAACCUUUAGCGAGUUUUAGACCAAAUAUAUGUGAAGGGCCUUUUCCAAAAGGAAUAGUAACUAGAAGCCAAAAAUAAAGCACUGAAAUAAAAUCCCACUUUGAAUUAUGUAUAAGCAAAGUACAUUAGUAAAAUCCAAAUGUACUUUAGGAAUAGAGAUCUGCUAUUUGCUAGGAUUGGAAUUUCAUUAUUGAAAAGGAAGGGAAAAAACAGAAGUAAUAAAAUUAGUUGUACUUAGUAUUGAUGACAAACACGCUCCAUAUUUGAUGAUUGUCUCCUGAGUCCAUCAGUACAGUUGGAGCUGCUUUUAAUGGGUUAAAACUCAUUAAGAGGAGAGUUGUCUCUUGAGCUGAGGUGUUGGAACAUGAAAGUCUGAUUAUUUUUCCUUCUUUUGUUUAUUCAUUCAUUUGUUCAUCAUGAAACUCAUUCUCUGCCUGGUACUGAGGAAGGAUGUUAAUGCAAGAACCACCCCUACUCUUGAGGGCCUUCCCAGUUUCCUUCAGGAUUUAAGCUCCCUGGCCUCAUUCCAGACAUUGGUCACCAAGUCCGCUAUUACAUUGGAUGAUUAAAGGUAUGUGGAUAUCAAGGAGAGAGCAGGCAGGGAAUUACAUUUGAUGGGCUCCAUUAGUCUUCUGUGGUUCAGGUAAGGUCAGCACAGGAUAUUGUUCAAACUCUAAAUUCUGGUACUUUGUUCCUGGGCAUAGAUGCUCUAACAUUCAGAGGUUUUUGCUGCCUUUUGAAAGGUGUCAAACUCAUAAUCUCACACAGAGUACACCAGAAUGAGGGACACUGACCAGCUCUAACCCAUCUCUAGGCACUAGGUCAUCUUGUCUCAAAAGACCUGUAUAAAAGUAGGCUAUUUCAUGCAAGGAAACUGCAGUUAGGAAAAUUACAUAUAAAAAGUGUGGGGUGGAGUUCCCGUCGUGGCUCUGUGGUUAAUGAGCCCGACUAGUAUCCAUGAGGCUGUGGGUUCCAUUCCUGGCCUCGAUCAGUGGGUUAAGGAUCUGGCGUUGCCAUGAGCUGUGGUGUAGGUCGCAGAAGCAAUUCGGAUCCCAUGUUGCUGUGGCCCUGACGUAGGCCAGCGGCUACAGCUCCAAUUAGACCCCUAGCCUGGGAACCUCCGUAUGCCAUGGGUGCAGCCCUAAAAAGACAAAAAGAAAAAAAGAAAAAAAAGUGUGAGGUGAUACUUUCUAGGCACUGUGGCAAAAUGAGGGUAGAUGAUAGGAGAGGAAAAAGCUAACCUUUCUCUAUUCUCGCCAUAUAUUUUGAAAUUUGAACAGUCCUUGAAUUUAUUUCCUUUUUUCUGAUUUAAAAAUUGAAAUCGUUUAUUAUCCCUCAAUCAGGAGGAAACACUGUCGAAUUUUUUUGUGUACUUUCUAUCUCAUUUCUUUGCAUACAUGUGUGUAUGUGUAUAAAUCAAAUUGGUAUUUUUAUUACUUAGCCACUUUUCUUUUGAUGGACACUAGAGAGGUUGCACGCCCUGGACCAAUGCAGAAUACAAAGCAUUUUUGUUAAUUAGCUAUCUAUGCCAUAUUGGGCUUUUCAUUCCUUUUUGUAUCACAAGAUCGUUUCUCUUGCUGAUUCAUCUCCUGCCAUAUCUUUUACAUUCUCUCUAUGUCCAUUGCCACUUCUCUGUACAACUCUUGUUACCUUUCUUCCCUUCCUUUCCUCCAAAACUGUCCUCAUAAAGGUUGCUGAAGUUCUAGUUAUUAAUAAUCCAGUGAUGCCCAGUUUAUCUAUUUGUUUCACUUGUUCCUGUGCGUCUAUUAUUUUGGUACUAAGAAACCAUCAAGGAUACAAAGAGUCAUGGCCUAUGUGCUCUUCUGAGAGUUUUAUAGUUUUAGUUCUUACAUUUAGCUGUUACAAAAAGGCAUUUAUUAAGGGGGUAUUUUACAGAAUUAGGAGGGUUUGAAGAAAUGGACUCUAGCUUUGGCUUCCAGGAACAACCCUCUCGAUCACAUUAUAGAACUGGGUUGCCAGAGAGAUGUGGUCUUGACCUUGACCACGAAGCUGGUACGCCCCUCUAGCUCCAGAACCACCCUAUCCUGCCAUGGUCUCCACCAGCAAAAUGAUUGCCUUGUGUCCCAUCCAUCUUCCACAUUCAACUCAGAGCCUCAGUCUCUUCAUUUAUAAACUGUGAGGGGCAUCUACCUCCAGGGUGUAUCUAGCACAUUUCACAAUUCGUGGGGCCUAAGCACAUGCCAGUGAUAUGGAUGUAGAUUGUAAAUGACUCGUUAGGACUUACCGGUGCCAACCAGCUGAAUAUUAACAGUCUUGACAGUAUUACAAGAAUUAAAUGAGCUUGGUACUGUAAUGCCAAGUGACAAGGGUUAUUUGAUGGUCCUGGGUACCUAUGGCAUGCCUGGUCUGACUGAGAUUACUCAGGGUAGCAGUGGUCAGACAGGUGAAAAUCCUAGAAACACCCCCCAAGACCUUAAAAGAGAGAGAAUGCUCUCACAGAUACAGACAAGAAUCUAAGCACUUGGACUCCUGCCUCUGAGCUCUUGACCUGAGCAUAACCUGGGCACACAGGAAAGAGAGCUGGGUGGUGUUUGGUCAGUCAAGGGGGAGACUGCUCCAGUUCUCAACUGUUAUUCUAGCAAAACAGGUGGAUGGAUUUGAGCCCAAGAGGUAAGAAGUGAGCAAAAUAACCAGGAUCGUUAGGCUUUGGGGUAUGCUUUGCAUGAGAAUGAUGGACACUAAACCUGUCGGAAGGAAAGGCGUGUACAGGAGUAAACAUGCCAGAGACUGGAGUCCAGAACCUUGAAAGUUUAAUGAGGACAGUUAGUGAAGCAGUACCCUGUGAUGAAUCACAUCAAAAGCACUGCUUAAAUCAAGUGGGAUCAUGGUGGACAAUACCAUUUAAUUUAACUGCUUAAAGGUCAUUUGAAACUCUUAAUAGUGCACUGGCAGGAGGACUUGGCUUCUAAAUCCAGGCAGAUAAAGGUGCAUUAGGUCUCCAGAGUGGAGGACUUAAGAUCUGAGCCAGCCCGGCAGAGCUGGUGCACCUGAAUAGAUGAGAAGAAGCAAGAGGAGACAGAUGAAAGUGAAACGGAGUCACUGCGGGUUUUUUACUUCUUUUAAUUUUUUAGAGAUCUCCUCACUGGAGGGCCUAAAAAGUGAUGUUAAGAAAGUAAUAAAUGAGUACAAGGUUAUUACAGGGAAUAUUGCUGUCAUGUUUUGUGAGCAAAUGAACAUGUUAUAUAAGUAGUUAUAAUGGCGGUACACAAGGUAGAGUUUCAUAUUUUCAGAAAAUAAAGAUUACAACUGAAUGUAUCUGGUGCAUAUUUAAUGAAGAGCAUAAUCAAGGGAUAUUGGAGCUGUAAAGGAACCGGCCAGUUGUCAGGUUCAGCCUCCUCAUUUGUGCAAAUGAGGAAAACAAAUUUGGAGAUGACUCUGGUAUCCUGAGUUUACACAGUCACCAGGGAUGGAUCCAGGAUUAGCACUCAGGCCUCUCAUGCUGUACUGGCCCAUCUACUUCAUUGUUACUGGGCUGCAGGAGCCUUAGCUAUAAACAGACACUUCAGGUUUUUGCGCUGUAACUAAACAGACUCUGGGGAGGCAGCUGGGAGAGGGAGAAUCAGAUUGAGCCAGAGUUGCUCAGGAGAUCCUGAAAAGCUAUGAAUUUGGAACCCAAAGGACAGAGCCUCCCUCUCCUCAGGGAAAGGGUGUCUAGGGUUUGGGCAUUUGCCUGCUCAUCCUUUGUGCUCACCUGCCUGCCCAGCUACUACACCUGUCAGGUGGCUGCUGGACUUGGACCAUGAGUCAAGAGAAGGAGUACUCCCAAAUUAGUCCCUUUCUGCUGGUGACGAUCUUUAAUCUCACCAUUGAAAUACACAGCUCCCUUUUCUCAUUUUUCUUUUGAAUGGAUUGCCUUUCCUUGUCUGUUUGCUUUCUUGUUUUCUUAUUCCAUUUCCCCUUUUUACUGAUUGGGAAGUUACAGCCUCUAUUUUUAAAUUUUUAGUGUUUGUCCUUGAAACAUUAAUAUGCAUACUUAUCACAGUAUUAUUGAGCAUUUUAAUCUUUUUUAAACCCUAAAAAUUAGCAGUUGUUAUUAUUUUAUAUAGUUAGUUUUUAUAUUUACUCCCAUGUUUACCACUUUCUUUAUUCAUAGUCCUUUCUCAGCCCUGUCUUUUCUUCUCAAGUAUAUCCUCCCUUUAGGUACAGGUCCUUUCGAUGGCAAAUUCCCUUUGUUUGGUUGCUGCACUUGUGUUCUUGUAAAGCUACAUAAUUCUUUGUUGACAGUUAUUUUCUCUCACCAGAGAUUUUGCCACCCUUUCGUGGCUUCCUGUGUAAGCUGUGGGCAAGUUGGGUAUCGGUCUCAUUGUCAUUACUGGUAACAAAGAUGUGUUUUUUCUCUUGAGUAUUUUUGGGACCAUCUUUGUCUUUCUUAUUUCAUGGUUUUACUACAGCAGGUCUAGGUGGGGAUUUUUUUUUUUUUCCUUUUCCUUUAUCUGUGUGCUUCUUACCUGUGUAUUAAAGUCUCAUG